UACAGAGGUGGCAAGCGUUGUUCGGAAUUACUGGGCGUAAAGGGCGCGUAGGCGGCUUGGUCAGUCCCGUGUGAAAUCCCUCGGCUCAACUGAGGAACUGCACGGGAAACUGCCUGGCUUGAGUUCGGGAGAGGGAAGCGGAAUUCCGGGUGUAGCGGUGAAAUGCGUAGAUAUCCGGAGGAACACCGGUGGCGAAGGCGGCUUCCUGGCCUGUUCUUGACGCUGAGGAGCGAAAGCUGGGGGAGCAAACAGG
rnacentral:rRNA from 1 species